ACUUUAAUUGAAGAGUUUGAUCAUGGCUCAGAUUGAACGCUGGCGGCAGGCCUAACACAUGCAAGUCGAGCGGUAACAGAUUGAUAGCUUGCUAUCAAUGCUGACGAGCGGCGGACGGGUGAGUAAUGCCUGGGAAUAUGCCCUGAUGUGGGGGAUAACUAUUGGAAACGAUAGCUAAUACCGCAUAAUCUCUUCGGAGCAAAGAGGGGGACCUUCGGGCCUCUCGCGUCAGGAUUAGCCCAGGUGGGAUUAGCUUGUUGGUGGGGUAAUGGCUCACCAAGGCAACGAUCCCUAGCUGGUCUGAGAGGAUGAUCAGCCACACUGGAACUGAGACACGGUCCAGACUCCUACGGGAGGCAGCAGUGGGGAAUAUUGCACAAUGGGGGAAACCCUGAUGCAGCCAUGCCGCGUGUAUGAAGAAGGCCU
rnacentral:rRNA from 2 species